rnacentral:rRNA from 1 species
GACGAACGCUGGCGGCGUGCUUAACACAUGCAAGUCGAACGGUGAAGCGCCUUCCUUUUUGGUGGGUGUGGAUGAGUGGCGAACGGGUGAGUAACACGUGAGUAACCUGCCCCCUUCUUCUGGAUAACCGCAUGAAAGUGUGGCUAAUACGGGAUAUUCUGGGUCUGUCGCAUGAUGGGUCUGGGAAAGAUAUUGUUUCGGUGGGGGAUGGGCUCGCGGCUUAUCAGCUUGUUGGUGGGGUGAUGGCCUACCAAGGCGGUGACGGGUAGCCGGCCUGAGAGGGUGGACGGUCACACUGGGACUGAGACACGGCCCAGACUCCUACGGGAGGCAGCAGUGGGGAAUAUUGCACAAUGGGCGCAAGCCUGAUGCAGCGACGCCGCGUGAGGGAUGGAGGCCUUCGGGUUGUGAACCUCUCUCGCCAGUGAAGCAGGCCUGCCUCGUUUGUGGGUGGGUUGACGGUAGCUGGAUAAGAAGCGCCGGCUAACUACGUG